UACGGAGGAUGCGAGCGUUAUCCGGAUUUAUUGGGUUUAAAGGGUGCGUAGGCGGGCUUUUAAGUCAGCGGUAAAAAUUCGGGGCUCAACCCCGUCCGGCCGUUGAAACUGGGGGCCUUGAGUGGGCGAGAAGAAGGCGGGAUGCGUGGUGUAGCGGUGAAAUGCAUAGAUAUCACGCAGAACCCCGAUUGCGAAGGCAGCCUUCCGGCGCCCUACUGACGCUGAGGCACGAAAGUGCGGGGAUCGAACAGG
rnacentral:rRNA from 1 species